rnacentral:rRNA from 1 species
GAUGAACGCUGGCGGCGUGCCUAAUACAUGCAAGUCGAGCGAACGGACGAGUAGCUUGCUUUUCUGAUGUUAGCGGCGGACGGGUGAGUAACACGUGGAUAACCUACCUAUAAGACUGGGAUAAAUUCGGGAAACCGGAGCUACUACCGGAUAAUAUUUUGAACCGCAUGGUUCAAAAGUGAAAGACGGUCUUGCUGUCACCUAUAGAUGGAUCCGCGCUGCAUUAGCUAGUUGGUAAGGUAACGGCUUACCAAGGCAGCGAUGCAUAGCCGACCUGAGAGGGUGAUCGGCCACACGGGAACUGAGACACGGUCCAGACUCCUACGGGAGGCAGCAGUAGGGAAUCGUCCGCAAUGGGCGAAAGCCUGACGGAGCAACGCCGCGUGAGUGAUGAAGGUCUUCGGAUCGUAAAACUCUGUUAUUAGGGAAGAACAUAUGUGUAAGUAACUGUGCACAUCUUGACGGUACCUAAUCAGAAAGCCACGGCUAACUACGUG